UACGUAGGGUGCGAGCGUUGUCCGGAAUUAUUGGGCGUAAAGAGCUUGUAGGCGGUCUGUCGCGUCUGCUGUGAAAAUCCGGGGCUCAACCCCGGACUUGCAGUGGGUACGGGCAGACUAGAGUGUGGUAGGGGAGACUGGAAUUCCUGGUGUAGCGGUGAAAUGCGCAGAUAUCAGGAGGAACACCGGUGGCGAAGGCGGGUCUCUGGGCCGAAACUGACGCUGAGGAGCGAAAGCGUGGGGAGCAAACAGG
rnacentral:rRNA from 1 species